AUGAACUUUUCUUCCUUUUCAGAUAGGCUAAGAACACCUCUACACCUCAUCAUGAGUCACCUAGAAAUCCUGCAAGGAACCUUCAGAUGGUACAAGGAGCUUUACUUCUCACGUACAGAAGGCCGUCCUGCCGUAACUCCGGUUAUCAGUAUCCACUUGGAAAUGAGGGACAAGGGGAGCCUUUCAAGCUCAGUCAUCUAUUGUUUCCUGGAGCUGAGCAGGGAGGAGAUCAGAAACCACUUGACGGAAGGCCAUCAAGAGCCUCAGAGGAACCAAGUAGGACCCGAAAACAGAAGACCAGGAAAACCAUCUUCAAUAAGAGCAAAGAGUUGAAAAUAGGGAAUCUAGUAAAAACGGGCGAGCGAUGGCUCUCAAACUUUUUCCACCAUGCACACAUGAUUCAGAAUGUUCCUAUGUUCUGUGCUCUCAUGGGAGUACAUACUUUCUGGCAAAUCAGCUGUGGUUUCACCUCAUUCUCAUCCACUCAAGAAAGCCUGUCAAAGUGCAAAUGAGAGCGACACUGGAUCCCCUCUCAUGUGGCCGAGUCUCUAGCAUGCAUGAGCCAGAAAACAAGAGACAGGGAAGGUCUAGAGUAUGGAUUAAGGGGAUAAUGUGCUAUCAGGGAAAUGGACAGGGGGCUUUUGUGUCUCAGCCAUUUGAGGUUGAGAGAAAAGGAAGGGGGGACGGGGGGGGCUUGAGAGAACCUCUCUGAUGAAGUUAUUCAAAGAACCGAGCCUUGAGCAGUAAAAAACAAAAUGUGUUAACGGAGAAACUUGGAUGGGGGUGAGAGUGAACACUGGGGAGCUCUGAGAAGAUGGAGAGAAUACGAGCCAAAACCCAGGCAGUGCGACAGGGAAGAAAUGGUGGGGAGACACAGAAUCUGGGAAGGAGUCCUCAGAGCAGAGAUGGGAAAGCUGUCGGCUCUGUCGGUGUUUCACUGUUGGGCAGAGAGCAGGCAUCGCCCCAAGAUCCAGGGGCCGGCCUGGGUGACCCAGGGUCCGCCCAGGUUGCGGGGUGGUCCUUAAAAGCAGUCUUUUUGUUCUUUGGUGAUAACAGACUGGUGGGUCAGAUAUACCAGUUUUUUUCCCCUCUGUCCCCUUCUGUCAAAUUAUGAAAGCUUCAUGGGCAAUGUGUGUUUUUAAGUUUUAAGCACCACUCAAUCAGAGGGGAUUUUCCACAAGGACUUACAAAAAUGCAGAUUACACUGUAAAAAUGCUUUUCAGCCAAUAAAAGUCCUGUUUUACUGAGCA
rnacentral:lncRNA from 1 species